CCGCAUGCAACAACUGCGUGUACUCACUCACAAAUCCUGGGAUCUGCACACAAAGCAGCACAAUAAGUCGACCCAUGAGGAGGAAGUCCUUUGAAAUUUGGCGCGCCAGUCCCUGGGCUUCCUUGCGCUUGAAUGUACGUCACAUCCGGCUCCGCCCUGAUUGGCUGACGGCCAGGGCGCCUUUCGCAGCAGCAGCAGCAGCAGCAGGACGGGCCUGUGUGAGGAGGACAAAUGUCAGAGGAUCACAGACAAAGAGACAGUUGGGACGAGUUUUUUUCCUUCUGUAGGGGAACAGAUGUUUGUUAUGUAACUCUUGUCCUCGCUCUAGUUUUUCUCUUCCUUACUGCAUGAAAACUUUUUUAAAUAAAUGUCUCAAACAUC